AGAGAAUAGAUACCCUGGUAGUCCACGCCGUAAACGAUGGAUGCUAGCCGUUGGCAGGCUUGCCUGUCAGUGGCGCAGCUAACGCAUUAAGCAUCCCGCCUGGGGAGUACGGUCGCAAGAUUAAAACUCAAAGGAAUUGACGGGGGCCCGCACAAGCGGUGGAGCAUGUGGUUCAAUUCGAAGCAACGCGCAGAACCUUACCAACCUUUGACAUGUCCCGUAUGAGCACCAGAGAUGGAGUUCUUCAGUUCGGCUGGCGGAACGCAGGUGCUGCAUGGCUGUCGUCAGCUCGUGUCGUGAGAUG
rnacentral:rRNA from 1 species